rnacentral:rRNA from 1 species
AAGCUCGUAGUUGAAUUUCGGGAUCAGUUUGUUGGUCGUGCUUCGGUACGUACUGUCAUUACUGGUUUCUACCUUCUGAAGAACCUUGAUGUCAUUAAUUUGGUGUCUUGGGGAAUCAGGACUGUUACUUUGAAAAAAUUAGAGUGUUUAAAGCAAGCAUACGCUUGAAUACAUUAGCAUGGAAUAAUGAAAUAGGACGUUUGAUUCUAUUUUGUUGGUUUCUAGGAUCGACGUAAUGAUUAAUAGGGAUAGUUGGG